rnacentral:rRNA from 1 species
UACGUAGGGAGCAAGCGUUGUCCGGAAUCAUUGGGCGUAAAGCGCGCGUAGGUGGCUUCGUAAGUCCGUUGUGAAAGUCAAAGGCUCAACCUUUGAAAGCCGAUGGAUACUGCGGAGCUAGAGUACGGAAGAGGCGAGUGGAAUUCCUGGUGUAGCGGUGGAAUGGCGCAGAUAUCAGGAGGAACACCGGUGGCGAAGGCGGGUCUCUGGGCAGUGAACUGACGCUGAGGAGCGAAAGCGUGGGGAGCAAACAGG